CUAGCUGGUCUGAUAGGAUGAUCAGCCACACUGGAACUGAGACACGGUCCAGACUCCUACGGGAGGCAGCAGUGGGGAAUUUUCUGCAAUGGGCGAAAGCCUGACAGAGCAAUACCGCGUGAGGGAUGACAGUCCUAUGGAUUGUAAACCUCUUUUUUCAGGGAGGAAGUUCUGACGUUACCUGAAGAAUAAGCAUCGGCUAACUCCGUGCCAGCAGCCGCGGUAAUACGGAGGAUGCAAGUGUUAUCCGGAAUCACUGGGCGUAAAGCGUCUGUAGGUGGUUUAAUGUGUCUGUUGUUAAAUCUUAAGGCUCAACCUUAAACCAGCAAUGGAAACUAUUAUGACUUGAGUGUGGUAGAGGUAGAGGGAAUUUCCAGUGGAGCGGUGAAAUGCGUAGAUAUUGGAAAGACCACCAAUGGCGAAGGCACUCUACUGGGCCAUUACUGACACUGAGAGACGAAAGCUAGGGGAGCAAAUGGGAUUAGAUACCCCAGUAGUCCUAGCUGUAAACGAUGGAUACUAGAUGUCGCAUGUAUCGACCCAUGCGGUAUUAUAGCUAACGCGUUAAGCAUCCCGCCUGGGCAGUAUGCUC
rnacentral:rRNA from 14 species